rnacentral:rRNA from 1 species
GAUGAACGCUGACAGAAUGCUUAACACAUGCAAGUCAACUUGAAUUUGGGUUUUUUAACUUAGAUUUGGGUGGCGGACGGGUGAGUAACGCGUAAAGAACUUGCCUCACAGCUAGGGACAACAUUUGGAAACGAAUGCUAAUACCUGAUAUUAUGAUUAUAAGGCAUCUUAGAAUUAUGAAGGCUAUAUGCGCUGUGAGAGAGCUUUGCGUCCCAUUAGCUAGUUGGAGAGGUAACGGCUCACCAAGGCGAUGAUGGGUAGCCGGCCUGAGAGGGUGAACGGCCACAAGGGGACUGAGACACGGCCCUUACUCCUACGGGAGGCAGCAGUGGGGAAUAUUGGACAAUGGACCAAGAGUCUGAUCCAGCAAUUCUGUGUGCACGAUGACGUUUUUCGGAAUGUAAAGUGCUUUCAGUUGGGAAGAAAAAAAUGACGGUACCAACAGAAGAAGUGACGGCUAAAUACGUG